rnacentral:rRNA from 1 species
GAUUAACGCUGGCGGCGUGCAUAACACAUUCAAGUCGAACGGUGACGGGGACUUCGGUCCCCUGAUCAGUGGCGGACGGGUGAGUAACGCGUGAGCAAUCUACCUCUUGGUGAGGGAUAACAACCGGAAACGGCUGCUAAUACCGCAUAACGUUAUCGGGUGGCAUCACUUGAUAACCAAAGAUUUAUCGCUCUGGGAUGGGCUCAUGUCUGAUUAGAUAGUUGGCGGGGUAACGGCCCACCAAGUCUACGAUCAGUAGCCGGACUGAGAGGUUGAACGGCCACAUUGGGACUGAGAUACGGCCCAGACUCCUACGGGAGGCAGCAGUGGGGAAUAUUGGGCAAUGGGCGCAAGCCUGACCCAGCAACGCCGCGUGAAGGAAGAAGGCUUUCGGGUUGUAAACUUCUUUUAUCAGGGACGAAACAAAUGACGGUACCUGAUGAAUAAGCCACGGCUAACUACGUG